rnacentral:rRNA from 1 species
CGUAGGCGGCGCGAGCAGUCAACGGUGAAAGCCCGGGGCUCAACUCCGGGUCGGCCGUCGAUACUCUCGUGCUCGAGCACUGUAGAGGCAGGUGGAAUUCCGGGUGUAGCGGUGGAAUGCGUAGAGAUCCGGAAGAACACCGGUGGCGAAGGCGGCCUGCUGGGCAGUAGCUGACGCUGAUGCGCGACAGCGUGGGGAGCAAACAGGAUUAGAUACCCUGGUAGUCCACGCCGUAAACGAUGGGCACUAGAUGCUUGCGGGAGCGACCCCGUGAGUGUCGGCGCUAAUGCAUUAAGUGCCCCGCCUGGGGAGUACGGCCGCAAGGCUGAA